GACAGAGGUGCCGAGCGUUAGGCGGAAUCACUGGGCUUAAAGCGUGUGUAGGCGGACCGUUAAGUACCUUGUGAAAUCCCACGGCUCAACCGUGGAACGGCUGGGUAUACUGGCGGUCUUGAGACACUCAGGGGCGAGCGGAACAAGCGGUGGAGCGGUGAAAUGCGUAGAUAUCGCUUGGAACGCCGACGGUGAAAACAGCUCGCUGGGGGUGCUCUGACGCUGAGACACGAAAGCCAGGGGAGCGAACGGG
rnacentral:rRNA from 1 species